CAAGCGGUGGAUGAUGUGGAUUAAUUCGAUGCAACGCGAAAAACCUUACCUACCCUUGACAUGUACGGAAGGCCGGAGAGAUUUGGCUGUGCUCGAAAGAGAACCGUAACACAGGUGCUGCAUGGCUGUCGUCAGCUCGUGUCGUGAGAUGUUGGGUUAAGUCCCGCAACGAGCGCAACCCUUGUCAUUAGUUGCUACGAAAGGGCACUCUAAUGAGACUGCCGGUGACAAACCGGAGGAAGGUGGGGAUGACGUCAAGUCCUCAUGGCCCUUAUGGGUAGGGCUUCACACGUCAUACAAUGGUACAUACAGAGCGCCGCCAACCCGCGAGGGGGAGCUAGUCGCAGAAAGUGUAUCGUAGUCCGGAUUGUAGUCUGCAACUCGACUACAUGAAGUUGGAAUCGCUAGUAAUCGCGGAUCAGCAUGUCGCGGUGAAUACGUUCCCGGGUCUUGUACACACC
rnacentral:rRNA from 1 species